CCUACGUGUGGCAGCAGUGAGGAAUCUUGGUCAAUGGGCGGGAGCCUGAACCAGCCAAGCCGCGUGAGGGAAGAAGGUACAGCGUAUCGUAAACCUCUUUUGUCAGGGAACAAAGGCGCGGACUAGUCCCCGGAUGAGGGUACCUGAAGUAAAAGCAUCGGCUAACUCCGUGCCAGCAGACGCGGUAAGACGGAGGAUGCGAGCGUUAUCCGGAUUUAGUGGGUUUAAGGGGUGCGCAGGCGGCCUGUUAAGUCAGCGGUAAAAGCACGGGGCUCAACCCCGGCGAGCCGUGGAAACUGGCGGGCUGGAGUUUGAGAGAAGUACGCGGAAUGCGCGGUGUAGCGGUGAAAUGCUUAGAUAUCGCGCAGAACCCCGAUUGCGAAGGCAGCGGACCGGCUCCACACUGACGCUGAGGCACGAAAGCGUGGGUAGCGAACAGGAUUAGAUACCCCUGUAGUC
rnacentral:rRNA from 1 species